rnacentral:rRNA from 1 species
UGGGGAAUAUUGGACAAUGGGCGCAAGCCUGAUCCAGCCAUGCCGCGUGGGUGAAGAAGGCCUUCGGGUUGUAAAGCCCUUUCGUUGGGAAAGAAAAGCAGUCGGUUAAUACCCGAUUGUUCUGACGGUACCCAAAGAAUAAGCACCGGCUAACUUCGUGCCAGCAGCCGCGGUAAUACGAAGGGUGCAAGCGUUACUCGGAAUUACUGGGCGUAAAGCGUGCGUAGGUGGUUUGUUAAGUCUGAUGUGAAAGCCCUGGGCUCAACCUGGGAAUUGCAUUGGAUACUGGCAGGCUGGAGUGCGGUAGAGGGUAGUGGAAUUCCCGGUGUAGCAGUGAAAUGCGUAGAGAUCGGGAGGAACAUCCGUGGCGAAGGCGACUACCUGGACCAGCACUGACACUGAGGCACGAAAGCGUGGGGAGCAAAACAGGAUUAGAUACCCUGGUAGUCCACGCCCUAAACGAUGCGACUGGAUGUUGGGUUCAAUUAGGAACUCAGUAUCGAAGCUAACGCGUUAAGUUCGCCGCCUGGGGAGUACGGUCGCAAGACUGAAACUUAAAUGAAUUGACGGGGUCAUAGCUGUUUCC